UACGUAGGGCGCGAGCGUUGUCCGGAUUUACUGGGCGUAAAGGGCUCGUAGGCGGUUUGUCGCGUCGGUCGUGGAAAUGCGCAGCUUAACUGGGCACGUGCGGCUGAUACGGGCAGACUCGAGGGCGGUAGGGGCAAGCGGAAUUCCUGGUGUAGCGGUGAAAUGCGCAGAUAUCAGGAGGAACACCGAGGGGGAAGGCAGCUUGCUGGGCCGUUCCUGACGCUGAGGUACGAAAGCAUGGGGAGCAAACAGG
rnacentral:misc_RNA from 1 species